GUUUAACCCGGCACGGUCAGGCAUCCCCGGCUUUGUCUCCGCUCACGCUACGGCCAAUACUCGCACGUUCCUGGAGAAGGGAACUCCAGCUGGAUGCGAGAGGGAAGCUGCAGACGCAGGCUGGCUGCGGGAGCCCGCAGAAGGAAGGGGUGACUGCUCCUGCCCUGUGCUCUUUAACUCUCCUCAGCAAAUUGCAUUAGGAUGUGACAAAUUGGCUCGCGAAGCAGGUGCCGCCACGAGGCUUUCCAGAACUUACUUUGGGAACUCCUGUUGCAGCUAAAUGUGGGAGUCUCGAGCAUGCCUGGGAAAGGUUGCCCAAAAGCUAGGGCAGAUGUAGGUGCAGACUGUCUCAUGCCGUGGGCAGCUGAGAUGAGGAGCUGAACCGGGAGAGAAAGCAAAGCCGAUAUUUAGAAAUUGCGUGAGUGGUGAGGAGCUGAAGGUGGGAAGCUGGGCUGGCUUUGGGUGCCAACGUGACGCUCUGCUGGGGGAGUGGGGACACCUUUAUUCACCCAUGGGGGAGCAGGAACACUUUUGUUUACCCAGGGAUGAUCCUGGGAGUGCA
rnacentral:lncRNA from 1 species